rnacentral:rRNA from 1 species
UACGUAGGCAGCAAGCGUUGUUCGGAGUUACUGGGCGUAAAGGGUGCGUAGGCGGCUGUUUAAGUUUGGUGUGAAAUCUCCCGGCUCAACCGGGAGGGUGCGCCGAAUACUGAGUGGCUAGAGUGCGGGAGAGGAAAGUGGAAUUCCUGGUGUAGCGGUGAAAUGCGUAGAUAUCAGGAGGAACACCGGUGGUGUAAACGGCUUCUGGACCGUAACUGACGCUGAGGCACGAAAGCGUGGGUAGCAAACAGG